rnacentral:rRNA from 1 species
GAUGAACGCUAGCGGCAGGCCUAACACAUGCAAGUCGAGGGGUAGCAGGAUUAAGCUUGCUUAAUUGCUGACGACCGGCGCACGGGUGCGUAACGCGUAUGCAACCUACCUUAUACUGGGGUAUAGCCCGGAGAAAUUCGGAUUAAUCCCCCAUAGUACUAAUGAAUCGCAUGGUUUAUUAGUUAACGCAUUGCGGUAUAAGAUGGGCAUGCGGCCUAUUAGCGAGAUGGUGAGGUAACGGCUCACCAUGGCUACGAUAGGUAGGGGGCCUGAGAGGGUGGUCCCCCACACUGGUACUGAGACACGGACCAAACUCCUACGGGAGGCAGCAGUGAGGAAUAUUGGGCAAUGGGCGCAAGCCUGAACCAGCCAUGCCGCGUGCAGGAAGAAUGCCCUAUGGGUUGUAAACUGCUUUUAUUUGGGAAUAAACCUCUUUACGUGUAGAGAGCUGAAGGUACCAAAUGAAUAAGCACCGGCUAACUCCGUGCCAGCAGCCGCUGUAA